UACAGAGGGUGCAAGCGUUAAUCGGAAUUACUGGGCGUAAAGCGCGCGUAGGUGGUUUGUUAAGUUGGAUGUGAAAUCCCCGGGCUCAACCUGGGAACUGCAUUCAAAACUGACAAGCUAGAGUAUGGUAGAGGGUGGUGGAAUUUCCUGUGUAGCGGUGAAAUGCGUAGAUAUAGGAAGGAACACCAGUGGCGAAGGCGACCACCUGGACUGAUACUGACACUGAUGCACGAAAGCUAGGGGAGCAAACAGG
rnacentral:rRNA from 1 species